UUUUCAGACAGAAGCUCAUCAUGCUGACAGUAUUUAGUUUGUUUUGGCUCACUGGUGUUUGUCUGGGUGUUAAAGUUUCCCAAACACCUGUGGCAGUUUUCAGAAGACCUGGAGAAAACGUCCAGCUGGUCUGCAGCCAUGAAAAAACCGACUACAUGCUCAUGCAGUGGUACCAGAAAUCCCCUGGAGACCAGGCUCUGAAGCGCAUUGGACAUUUAUAUUACAACAACAAAGAGCAUGAGGAAGUGUUUAAGACACAUUUUAAUAUUAGUGGAGAUUUGAGUGGAGAGAAAGCAAAGAAUGCUUCUCUGUUUAUAGUGGACCUAAAGGCACCUGAGCACAGUGCAGUGUAUUACUGUGCAGCAAGCUAUGCACACUGAGAGGAAAACCCCUCCCUGUAAUACAAAAACUCAAAACCACCCACUUUAAUGGUCUUAUGGAUCUAAACUGAACAUACUCCUCCCACCUCUUGGUUAGAUCCCGGCCAGUAUAGUGUUCACUUUAUUUUCAUCUUAAAGUUUAAGACAAAUCAGUAAAGUCCGACAUCCAAACAUAGCAAGUUCAAUUUAAAGACACGUUAUCAAAGGAGGGUCACAAUGAUUGUUUUUCUCUUUUUCUGGUGCCUGACAGGUGUCUGUCUGGGUGUAGAGGUCCGUCAGACUCCCUCUGAGUUCAUCACAAAUGUUGAAUCCAAAGUGGAGAUUUUCUGCAGCCAUAAAAAGACUGACUACAGGGUGAUGCUCUGGUACCAGCAGCCACCCGGAGAGACAGCUAUGAAACUCAUUGGAUUUUUAAACGUCAAAGCUGUCACAUUUGACCAAGACCAAUAUAAAGAUCAUUUUGAUUUUACAGGAGAUUUAAGUGGGGAUACCGCAAAAAAUGGCUCUCUGAUAGUCAAAGUGGCAAAACAUGAGCACAGUGCAGUGUACUACUGUGCAGCUAGAUAUGCACAAUGACAAAAAGAUUCUCUGAACAUUACAAAAACCCCACGGUCUGGAAUCAUCAGUGGUUUGAAAAAAGAAAAACUGAUUUGAGACACCUGUUUUCGUGGUUUUGGUUUUUAAUUUAAUACAAUUUUGCUGGCUUAUUCCAAU